rnacentral:rRNA from 1 species
AGAGUUUGAUCCUGGCUCAGGAUGAACGCUAGCUACAGUCUUAACACAUGCAAGUCGAGGGGCAGCAUUAGAUUAGCUUGCUAAUUUAGAUGGCGACCGGCGCACGGGUGAGUAACGCGUAUCCAACCUUCCCCCUGCUCAGGGAUAGCCCGGUGAAAACCGGAUUAAGACCUGAUAGUUUCACUAGAUGGCAUCUGACGGUGAAUAAAGGUUUCGGCAAGGGAUGGGGAUGCGUCUGAUUAGCUUGUUGGCGGGGUAACGGCCCACCAAGGCGACGAUCAGUAGGGGUUCUGAGAGGAAGGUCCCCCACAUUGGAACUGAGACACGGUCCAAACUCCUACGGGAGGCAGCAGUGAGGAAUAUUGGUCAAUGGGCGGAAGCCUGAACCAGCCAAGUAGCGUGCAGGAAGACGGCCCUAUGGGUUGUAAACUGCUUUUGUGCGGGAAUAAAGUCAGGGACGCGUCCCUGUUUGCAUGUACCGCAAGAAUAAGGACCGGCUAAUUCCGUGCCAGCAGCCGCGGUAAUACGGAAGGUCCGGGCGUUAUCCGGAUUUAUUGGGUUUAAAGGGAGCGUAGGCCGUCCUUUAAGCGUGUUGUGAAAUGUAGGCGCCCAACGUCUGCACUGCAGCGCGAACUGGAGGACUUGAGUACGCGGGAAGCAGGCGGAAUUCGUCGUGUAGCGGUGAAAUGCUUAGAUAUGACGAAGAACUCCGAUUGCGAAGGCAGNCCUGCUGUAGCGCCACUGACGCUGAUGCUCGAAAGCGUGGGUAUCGAACAGGAUUAGAUACCCUGGUAGUCCACGCGGNNNANNNANGAGGAUAGUUUCCCUGGUAGUCCACGCGGUAAACGAUGGAUGCUCGCUGUAUGCCUAUUAGGUAUGUGGCCAAGGGAAACCAUUAAGCAUCCCACCUGGGGAGUACGCCGGCAACGGUGAAACUCAAAGGAAUUGACGGGGGCCCGCACAAGCGGAGGAACAUGUGGUUUAAUUCGAUGAUACGCGAGGAACCUUACCCGGGCUUGAACUGCCGGCGAACGAUACAGAGAUGUUGAGGCCCUUCGGGGCGCCGGUGGAGGUGCUGCAUGGUUGUCGUCAGCUCGUGCCGUGAGGUGUCGGCUUAAGUGCCAUAACGAGCGCAACCCCUUUCGUUAGUAAAACAUCAGGUGAAGCUGGGCACUCUGGCGAUACUGCCACCGUAAGGUGUGAGGAAGGUGGGGAUGACGUCAAAUCAGCACGGCCCUUACGUCCGGGGCUACACACGUGUUACAAUGGCGCAUACAGAGAGCCGGUCCUAUGCAAAUAGGGUCUAAUCAAUAAAGUGCGUCGUAGUUCGGACUGGGGUCUGCAACCCGACCCCACGAAGCUGGAUUCGCUAGUAAUCGCGCAUCAGCCAUGGCGCGGUGAAUACGUUCCCGGGCCUUGUACACACCGCCCGUCAAGCCAUGAAAGCCGGGGGCACCUGAAGCUUCUCGCUGUUCUACGGGCGAGGGGCGGCCUAAGGUGAAACUGGUAAUUGGGGCCCUCUCUUAGUAACGCACAAGGUAACCGUA